rnacentral:misc_RNA from 1 species
CGUAGGUUCCGCAGCUUUGCUGUGCUCUUUCCAUUUUGCCUGGUACUGCAUUGAAGGCCAUCUGCACAUUGGGCAAAGCACAACGAGGCCCAAUUAUCCUGGAGCGCACUGGCUCGAGAUGCAGAGAAAGACGUACACUUCAUCUGCUUCACAUGCAAAAAAAAUCACAAAGAGUCUCAUGAAGAUUACAUGCGAUACGCGCUUCUGCAAGAGAUGCGAUGACCAUCCUGUGUAGAAGACUCUCUACGAUGCCCGCUAGGGAGCUAGCUAUACAUUGGAGCGUUGCACUGCAGAUAGCGUGAACCUGUUGCUGUGAACGCUGAGGAAGUGCUGGAUUGUAAAGGCGCGGUCAGUUUUUCACCUGCACUUGACUCACUCUCAGUUCUAUGUUGGCCUCCCGUUGCGGGUGGUAACCUUCAGUUUUCACUUUCAAGAUUUGAAUUACUUUCCUUUCAGUCUCUAUCGCAAAUGAACAGUGCACUGGCGCGUUAAAGCAAGACGUUUUUCUUUCCCUUCGCCGGCCUCACUUCCACCAUUUUUCUGUUUGCUCACUACCCCGUGCGUGUUCAAAGUAUAGACGCAAAAGCCUGGCUCAGUUGUCUGCAUCAACAGAAUUUCCCUUGUAACCAGUCUCAAUGUGAAAGAAGACAAAGUGCAAACGCCCCGAAACCUGUUGGACGUACGAGUUUAGCGACUUUACUUAUAAAUAUUGAGUAGAGAUACUACACCAGGAAAAAGACAAAAGAUGCUUUCGUGACAUGCACUACGGAUACUCUUCUGCUGCUUUUUGCUCCUGAUGUCGGAGGACACCUCAGUGCGUGGCACCGGUGCCCAGUACCAUACUCUAUGCGGGAAGACAGGCAGCUCUUCUAUCCCAGUCAGUGCACAGCCACUUCUAGUGGUGACGGCAUCAGGCACCUAGGGCGUGGUGAUGUCAGAGCGAUGCAGCGCUACUAAUGCCGGCGGUCAGAUGGUGGAUAGCGUUGCGUUGGCGUCAUCUGCGGCAGUGGGCACGCUUGUUCCAUCCAUUUGAUGGGCAGAGCGUCAGCGUGACCCGAACACCACCCACCCGACUCUCAAGCUGUCUGCUCGUUUGGGGAGUCUGAGUGCCACCCCGAGGGGGAUGCACCACGUAGCGACCUGCGAGGCGGCUCGGUGGCGUUUGAGACAGGGGCCGUGCUGAGAUGAUUGCGUUGACGCGUUGCUGUCCCGCGUCUCCACAGAUGCUUUGCACCAGCUGAUGGGGCUUGUGACACAGUCGGGUGGCGUGGCGCUCAACUCAUGUUGUACCGCCGAAUGAACACUUUGUUGAGGAUCUCUCUUUCACGUAUCAGCUACUUUCCCUCACCCUGUACCCCUUUCUCUUAUACUUACAACACACGCCGAAACACAUCCUCAG